rnacentral:lncRNA from 1 species
AUGAGGAAGAUAAUGAGGAACCAAUCACUGAUCUACUACCCCUUCAAGCCUUUGAGGAUCUCGUAGAUCCAUGAAGCUUUAUGAGUGCAUAAUUCUCUCGCACUCUGAUGAGUCCAUCUUUUGUAGAGGCUUACAAUAAAUUUUAUUUUCUACCUCAGUAUUGUAUGGAACUCUAUUAUUAUUUUUCAAGGGAUUGUAAUUAUUUGUUCUGCUGCAUA